UACAGAGGGUGCAAGCGUUAAUCGGAAUUACUGGGCGUAAAGCGCGCGUAGGUGGUUUGUUAAGUUGAAUGUGAAAUCCCCGGGCUCAACCUGGGAACUGCAUGCAAAACUGGCAAGCUAGAGUAUGGUAGAGGGUGGUGGAAUUUCCUGUGUAGCGGUGAAAUGCGUAGAUAUAGGAAGGAACACCAGUGGCGAAGGCGACCACCUGGAUUGAUACUGACACUGAGGUGCGAAAGCGUGGGGAGCAAACAGG
rnacentral:rRNA from 1 species